rnacentral:rRNA from 1 species
UACGUAGGGGGCAAGCGUUGUCCGGAUUUAUUGGGCGUAAAGAGCGUGUAGGCGGCUUUACAGGUCCGUUGUGAAAACUCGAGGCUCAACCUCGAGACGUCGAUGGAAACCAUCUGGCUAGAGUCCGGAAGAGGAGAGUGGAAUUCCUGGUGUAGCGGUGAAAUGCGCAGAUAUCAGGAAGAACACCCGUGGCGAAGGCGGCUCUCUGGUACGUGACUGACGCUGAGACGCGAAAGCGUGGGGAGCAAACAGG